rnacentral:rRNA from 1 species
AUUGAACGCUGGCGGAAUGCUUUACACAUGCAAGUCGAACGGCAGCACGAGGGCAACCUUGGUGGCGAGUGGCGAACGGGUGAGUAAUACAUCGGAACGUGCCCAGUCGUGGGGGAGUAACGUAGCGAAAGACUACGCUAAUACCGCAUACGAUCUAUGGAUGAAAGACGGGGGACCGGUAAGGCCUCGCGCGAUUGGAGCGGCCGAUGGCAGAUUAGGUAGUUGGUGGGGUAAAGGCUCACCAAGCCUGCGAUCUGUAGCUGGUCUGAGAGGACGACCAGCCACGCUGGAACUGAGACACGGUCCAGACUCCUACGGGAGGCAGCAGUGGGGAAUUUUGGACAAUGGGCGCAAGCCUGAUCCAGCCAUUCCGCGUGCAGGAUGAAGG